UGGAGGCAGCAGUAAGGAAUUUUUCGCAAUGGGGGAAACCCUGACGAAGCAACGCCGCGUGGAGGAUGAAGGCCUUCGGGUCGUAAACUCCUGUCGACCGGGAAGAAAGCACAGCGACCCAAUACGUCGAGGUGUUGACUGUACCGGUGGAGGAAGCCACGGCUAACUCUGUGCCAGCAGCCGCGGUAAUACAGAGGUGGCAAGCGUUGUUCGGAAUUACUGGGCGUAAAGGGCGCGUAGGCGGUUUGCCAAGUCCCGUGUGAAAGCCCCCGGCUCAACCGGGGAACGGCGCGGGAAACUAGCGGGCUUGAGUUCGGGAGAGGGAAGCGGAAUUCCGGGUGUAGCGGUGAAAUGCGCAGAUAUCCGGAGGAACACCGGUGGCGAAGGCGGCUUCCUGGACCGACACUGACGCUGAGGCGCGAAAGCUAGGGGAGCAAACGGGAUUAGAUACCCCGGUAGA
rnacentral:rRNA from 1 species